rnacentral:ncRNA from 1 species
UGUGAAGGGGUGCUUGUGUAAGCAGGCUGAGAGUAAGCUGUAUUGCUUUAACCCAUAACCUGAUUUGGAUAAUGCCAACGUAGGGAAGAGAGU